rnacentral:rRNA from 1 species
UGCAAGUCGAACGGUAGCACAGAGAGCUUGCUCUCGGGUGACGAGUGGCGGACGGGUGAGUAAUGUCUGGGAAACUGCCUGAUGGAGGGGGAUAACUACUGGAAACGGUAGCUAAUACCGCAUAACGUCGCAAGACCAAAGAGGGGGACCUUCGGGCCUCUUGCCAUCAGAUGUGCCCAGAUGGGAUUAGCCAGUAGGUGGGGUAAUGGCUCACCUAGGCGACGAUCCCUAGCUGGUCUGAGAGGAUGACCAGCCACACUGGAACUGAGACACGGUCCAGACUCCUACGGGAGGCAGCAGUGGGGAAUAUUGCACAAUGGGCGCAAGCCUGAUGCAGCCAUGCCGCGUGUAUGAAGAAGGCCUUCGGGUUGUAAAGUACUUUCAGCGGGGAGGAAGGUGUUGUGGUUAAUAACCGCAGCAAUUGACGUUACCCGCAGAAGAAGCACCGGCUAACUCCGUGCCAGCAGCCGCGGUAAUACGGAGGGUGCAAGCGUUAAUCGGAAUUACUGGGCGUAAAGCGCACGCAGGCGGUCUGUCAAGUCGGAUGUGAAAUCCCCGGGCUCAACCUGGGAACUGCAUUCGAAACUGGCAGGCUAGAGUCUUGUAGAGGGGGGUAGAAUUCCAGGUGUAGCGGUGAAAUGCGUAGAGAUCUGGAGGAAU